rnacentral:rRNA from 1 species
UACGAAGGGGGCUAGCGUUAAUCGGAAUUACUGGGCGUAAAGCGUGCGUAGGCGGUUUGUUAAGUCUGUCGUGAAAGCCCUGGGCUCAACCUGGGAAUGGCGAUGGAUACUGGCAAGCUAGAGUACGGUAGAGGAUGGUGGAAUUCCCGGUGUAGCGGUGAAAUGCGUAGAGAUCGGGAGGAACACCCGUGGCGAAGGCGGCCAUCUGGACCAGUACUGACGCUGAGGCACGAAAGCGUGGGGAGCAAACAGG